rnacentral:lncRNA from 1 species
UGACAGGCAUGAGCUACCACGCCUGGCCCACCCUUCAACAUUAAAUCAAACCUACAGUCAUAAAAGAAGAAAAGUAAUAACAAACAUUUAAAUUGUAAAAUAUUUUUGUCAUCAUAGUCUUUAUGCAUUUGAAAAAUUGUUUGCGUGAAUGGUACCCCCCCCCCAAAAGCCAGAUUAUAUUUCUUUCUCCAAACACUGGUAAUAUUUGUCAUUAACAGGUACCACAAUUAAUCUGUUCCUUAAAAUUUUUCCUCUUUCUACUUCUCCGUUUUUUUCACAUUAUUUUCUUCAAAGGUUACUUUAAAAAAUCUAUGUGUGGGCUGGGCACGGUGGCUCACGCCUGUAAUCCCAGCACUUUGGGAGGCUGAGGCGGGCAGAUCACGAGGUCAGGAGAUCGAGACCAUCCUGGCUAACACGGUGAAACCCCGUCUCUACUAAAAAGACAAAAAAUUAGCCGGGCUAAUUAGGCGGGCACCUGUGGUCCCAGCUACUCGGAAGGCUGAGGCAGGAGAAUGGCGGGAGACGGAGCUUGCAGUGAGCCGAGAUCGCGCCACCGCACUCCCGCCUGGGCGACAGAGCGAGACUCCGUCUCAACAACAACAACAACAACAAAUCUGUGUGUUUUGGCUAAAACUAUUCAGAUUCUGAUUUCUCUGUUACUUAAACCCAAAGAACACCCUUAAUGACAGCUCUUGAAAUACAGUUACAUGUCACUUAAUGAUGGGGAAACAUUUUGAGAAAUGACAAUUUCAUUGUUGUACAAACAUCAGAGUGUACCUACAGAAACCUGAAUAGUAUAGCCUACUACACACCUAGACUAUAUGCGAUAGCCUAUGGCUCCCAGGCUACAAACCGGUGCAGCAUGUUACUGCACCAAAUACUGUAGGCAAUUGUAACACAAUGGUGAGUAAUUGUGCAUCCAAACAUAGAAAAGAUACAGUAAAAAUGUGGUAUGAAAGAUACAAAUGGUCCACCUGUCUAGGGCACUUACCAUGAAUGGAGCUUGCAGGACAGGAAGUUGCUCUCAGUGAGUGAGUGAGGAGUGAAUGUGAAGGCCUAGGACGCUACUGUACUGUACUGUAGACUUUAUCAACACUGUACGCUUAGGCUACACAGGCCUGGAACACUCACUGUUCUCUACUGUAGACUAUCCACACUGUACACUUAGGCUACACAGGCCUAGAACACUCACUGUACUCUACUGUAGACUUUAUCAAUACUGCACACAUAGGCUACACAGGCCUAGAACACUCACUGUUCUCUACUGUAGACUUUAUCAACACUGCACACGUAGGCUACACUACAUUUAUAAAGAAAUCAAGUAAUUACAGUAUGGUGUCAGUGAUGGCUAUGUCACCAGGCAAUAGGAGUUUUUCAGCUCCUUUAUAAUCUUCGAGGACCAUAGUUACAUUUGCAGUCAGUAGUUGACCAAUACCUAGUUGCAUAGCGUGUGACUGUCCUGCAAUUGCUGACUAGAAGCUGUGUACUCAGACACCAUUGCGUUUUUUAUUUAUUUUCAACCUUUACCUCAAGACUCAUGCUUGCCUUCUGGUGUUGUUCUGUUGGAUUCCAGAGGGCACAAGAGAGUUAUAAGCUUCUUACAGUCAAUGGCAUUGCAAGUAUUGCUCAUGAGCUGCAAAUCUGUCACCUGCCUGAAGCUCCCUGCCUCUAAGGAAACCCAGCUAAGAAAAGUUGGUUCCAGCUGGGCACAGUGGCUCACCCUAAAUCAUGAUUGUAUGGUAGUAUUUUUUUUUAGCACAGUUUUACUUUGUUUCAGUUUCUUAUCAUUCAUUUAUUUGUUCAGUUGUUCAUCCAUCAAAUAUUUAUUGAAUAUUUGGGGUAGGCAUCAUUCAAGGCACAGCUUAAGAAGACCAGUGACUGUGUCCCUCAGCAAAGCAAUCAGAACAACAUCAUUCAAUGAAAACAUUAUUAUGGCCGGGCACCGUGGCUCACGCCUGUAAUCCCAGCACUUUGGGAGGCCGAGGCGGGCAUAUCACGAGGUCAGGAGAUCGAGACCAUCCUGGCUAA